CAUGCUCGAGCAUCGAACUGCGGAAUCGCGAUCCUUUCAAUCCAAGCCCAUCUGCGUCCUGGAUGCUGACGGGCAAACAUGGGGUUCCUGUGCUGCAUACCCACAUGAGUGGAAUUCGAACGUGCUGCUGACCGUCUUUCGCCUUGUGCUCUUUAUAGGGCAUGUGGUGAACACAGCGGCGGCUCCUGUGGCCCAAACAUGUCGCUUCGGCUGUUGAGGCCCACGGGAAGUCGCUCGUGCUCUAGGAUGCGGAACUUUAAGCGUGGCAGAGGGAUCCAUUCCCUCGAUCAGCCCCAUGUCCCUAACGUAUAAACGACAGAAACGCUCGUUUCGAGGCCUUGGCAUGCUGCAACGUUGGUUGCUGGGGCCUUGUGCGGGCGUUGAUGUCCCGAAGGAAUGC
rnacentral:misc_RNA from 1 species